GGGAGAACAAGAAUCAGAGACGGGGGAGUCUUGCAGAUGAUUAUAGGAUCAUACUCCACAAUCCAACAACACUUUAUUCUCAUAUCAAUAAGGGUACGUCCACAAGUAAAGUCGGAACGACAGAUUCAAGCUAAGGGAACUAAACAUUCAAGGUUGAGCAGCGAAGUGGUGGAGGAAGUGCUAUUGAGACAAGACAUUUAAUUCAGUCA